rnacentral:ncRNA from 1 species
UGUUCGCGUCGCCCCGGCGGACCGAAAGGGAAUCGGGUUAAUAUUCCCGAACCUCGACGCGGAGAUUGGCGCUCCGGCGCCUAGUGCGGCAACGCAAACGAACUCGGAAACGCCGACGUGGGUCCCGGGAAGAGUUCUCUUUUCUUGGUAAGGGGCGGCGACCCUGGAAUCGGUUCGCCCGGAGAUAGGGACAUGGGCCCCGUAAAGCAGCACGUCUCUUGUGCUGUCCGGUGAGCUCGCGUCGGCCCUUGAAAAUCCGAGGGAGACGGUGUAAUUUUCGUGCGAGGUCGUACCCAUAUCCGCAGCAGGUCUCCAAGGUGAACAGCCUCUGGCCGAUAGAACAAUGUAGGUAAGGGAAGUCGGCAAACUAGAUCCGUAACUUCGGGAAAAGGAUUGGCUCUAGGGGCUGGGUCGGUCGGGCUGAGGUACGAAGCGGGGCGCGGCGCUGUACCGGACUGGGCGAACGACGGCCUCCCUCGCGGGGGGCUGGCGUGAGCCUGGACCUGUGUCGGCGUCUUCCCGUGGAAUGCCGCAGCUAACGCGGGCCUCGCGGCCCGCUUCGGCCGGCGUCGAACAGCCGACUUAGAACUGGUACGGACCGGGGGAAUCCGACUGUUUAAUUAAAACAAAGCUUUGCGAUGGCCGUCAGCCGGUGUUGACGCAAUGUGAUUUCUGCCGGAGG